rnacentral:rRNA from 1 species
GUCUAUUGUGGUGAAUCAUAGUAACUGAUCGGAUCCCCAACUGGGGAUAGAUCAUUCAAGUUUCUGCCCUAUCAGCUUUCGAUGGUAGUGUAUUGGACUACCAUGGCAGUAACGGGUAACGGAGAAUUAGGGUUCGGUUCCGGAGAGGGAGCCUGAGAAACGGCUACCACAUCUAAGGAAGGCAGCAGGCGCGUAAAUUACCCAAUGCAGAUUCUGCGAGGUAGUGACAAUACAUAACAACCUGGGGUCUCACGACUUACGGGAUUGCAAUGAGAACAAUUUAAAAACCUUAACGAGGAACAAGUGGAGGGCAAGUCUGGUGCCAGCAGCCGCGGUAAUUCCAGCUCCACUAGCGUAUAUUAAAGUUGUUGCAGUUAAAAAGCUCGUAGUUGAACUUCUGGUUGUGCGCCAGUGGUCGGUCAUCGAUCGCCCUGGGUGCAGCCAUCCGUCUGCAAACUUUUACAUCCUUAACUGGUUUGUCUAAGGGAGCAGGCAUUUUACUUUGAAAAAAUUAGAGUGUUUAAGGCAGGCACUAGCCGCUGAAUACAUUAGCAUGGAAUAAUGGAAUAGGACGCUUUGUCCAUUUGAUUGGUUAUUGGACUUGCGUAAUGAUUAAUAGGGACAGUUGGGGGCAUUAGUAUUUAAUUGUCAGAGGUGAAAUUCUUGGAUUUAUUAAAGACUAACUUAUGCGAAAGCAUUUGCCAAGGAUGUUUUCAUUAAUCAAGAACGAAAGUUAGGGGAUCAAAGACGAUCAGAUACCGUCCUAGUCUUAACUAUAAACUAUACCGACUCGGUUUCGGUGGGG